CUGAAACUUUGUCAGCAUCUCUUGUAAUUUUGUUCUCUGCAGCGUGACAUUACCGCAGUGCCACUCCGUUAGGACUGAUCCAGGUGUGCAGUACAACCAGCACACAGCCCUGCUGAGAGCCCACCACGUACUUCUCUGCCUUGCUUCACCGCUUUGGUCCAAGCUCCUGAGCCAAUGUCUCUGCCCCACAUUCAGCUCCAAGCAUUCUGAAGAGGCAGUAAGAAACCAGCUUGAUGGUUUGUGGAUCAUAAAGGAAUAAGGAUAAAAAAAAAAAAUAAAGAGGGAAGAAUUCACAUCCCGGCAUCAGUCAGAAAUACCUGAAAGCACCUGGCAACUGUGCUGCGAAGGGAUGCUCUACCCCAGGGCCACAAAACCUUCAGCUUUCCACUGUGAUCACUUUAUGAAGCCCAUCACAGCCACGAAGCCCACUUUCCCUCCUGAGGCCUCACUGUGGGCACAGAGUCACCCCACCAUCACCAUCGCUCCCUGGACUGCUGCCAUAAAGCUGCCCUACUGA
rnacentral:lncRNA from 1 species